CGGUGGAGUAUGUGGUUUAAUUCGACGCAACGCGCAGACUUACCUGGUCUUGACAUCCCGGGAAUCUUGUGGAAACACGAGAGUGCCUCGCAAGAGGAGCCUGGAGACAGGUGGUGCAUGGUUGUCGUCAGCUCGUGUCGUGAGAUGUUGGGUUAAGUCCCGCAACGAGCGCAACCCCUAUUGUUAGUUGCCAUCAUUCAGUUGGGCACUCUAGCGAGACUGCCGGUAAUAAACCGGAGGAAGGUGGGGAUGACGUCAAAUCAUCAUGCCCCUUAUGACCUGGGCUACACACGUGCUACAAUGGUUGGUACAACGAGUUGCGAGUCGGUGACGGCGAGCUAAUCUCUUAAAGCCAAUCUCAGUUCGGAUUGUAGGCUGCAACUCGCCUACAUGAAGUCGGAAUCGCUAGUAAUCGUGGAUCAGCCAAGCCGCGGUGAAUACGUUCCCGGGCCUU
rnacentral:rRNA from 1 species